rnacentral:misc_RNA from 1 species
CAGCAACUUCCACGCGUGCAUACCUCUUCAUUUGUGCUGCAAGGCUUGUUUUGCCUUGAGCGUUUUGUGGGUUUCCUGUGUUGCAUAACUAAUCGACGGUAUCGUAUGGAUAGAUCGAAGUCCCUUUUUGUCGUGCGUCGGCCAUGCGGCGCGGGAUGAACCUCGAAGCGGUCUCUGUGAUCCAUCUCGUCGAUGCCCAUGCAUUGAUGAUGUGGCCCAUUGAGCAUUGCCUGGUCUCUUGGAUACAGAACCUGAUGCGGGCAUGGGGUCUCACACGAUCCUGGGUUUGCCCUCGUUGAGCGUUCUCGCUUCUCUAAAACGACCGUCCGCCGCGUGUCGGCAUGUCCAUGCGUGGCGGGCGACGUCGAAG